rnacentral:rRNA from 1 species
GAUGAACGUUGGCGGUGUGCCUAAUACAUGCAAGUCGAACGAAGUUGAUAGCGAUAUUAGCUUAGUGGCGAACGGGUGAGUAACGCGUUGGUGAUCUGCCUUGAAGUGUGGAAUAACGUUUCGAAAGGAACGCUAAUACCGCAUGUGCUCUCGAUUUUCAGAAAGUUGAGAGUAAAGGAUUUAUUCGCUUCAAGAGGAGCCUGCGUCCCAUCAGCUGGUUGGUAGGGUAACGGCCUACCAAGGCUAUGACGGGUAGGGGACCUGAGAGGGUGGCCCCCCACAAUGGAACUGAAACACGGUCCAUACACCUACGGGUGGCAGCAGUAGGGAAUAUUAGAAAUGGACGAAAGUCUGAUCUAGCAACACCGCGUGUGCGAAGAAGGCCUUCGGGUCGUAAGCACUUUUGGAAGGAAUAGGAAGGAAUGUACUUCCAGAAUAAGUCUCGGCUAACUAACGUGCCAGCAGCCGCGGUAAAAGUCUACGUCG